AGUAACGCGUGGAUAACCUGCCUCACACUGGGGGAUAACAGUUAGAAAUGACUGCUAAUACCGCAUAAGCGCACAGUACCGCAUGGUACAGUGUGAAAAACUCCGGUGGUGUGAGAUGGAUCCGCGUCUGAUUAGCCAGUUGGCGGGGUAACGGCCCACCAAAGCGACGAUCAGUAGCCGACCUGAGAGGGUGACCGGCCACAUUGGGACUGAGACACGGUCCAA
rnacentral:rRNA from 1 species